ensembl:misc_RNA Metazoa_SRP Metazoan signal recognition particle RNA
GCCAGGUGUGGUAGUGCAUACCUGUAGUCCCAGCUACUCGGGAGGCUGAGGUAGGAGAAUCGCUUGAGCCCGGGAGGCCGAGGCUGCAGUGAGCAGUGGUGACACCACUGCACUCUAGCCUGGGUGACAGAGCGAGACCCUGUCUCAA